rnacentral:lncRNA from 1 species
AUGGUGACCAGUCUGGAGAGGGGGCCUCCGGGGUCCCAGUCCCCUCCGCCCUGCUUUAUAAUCCGGCUGGGGUCCUGCACCCCGUGGCUUGGUCCCAGGAGUCCACGCAGCUCCGGGCUCGUGCGCUGCGCGGGGGGUGGGCAGCUCUGGCGACCCCAGUCCCUUCCUCCCUUCUGUCCAAGUCCGGUCCCGGCGGCGCGCCCGGAAGGCGACGGGCGCGCAAAAGAGAAAGGCACAGCCGCCCUCGCGGACUCGGGGCGCCUCCCUCCCUCCCUCCGCGCCCCAACUCCCACUUCUUCUCUCAGGCAGGGCGGCCUCCGCGGUCCGGCCGGGUCGCUGGCCACGCUCCGGAAUAAACGGACAACUUCGGAGAAACUUCCUCCCGCGGCCACGUUGCCCGCCCCCCGGCCCCCCCUCCCCGCCCCCCGGCUGGGUUCUCCGGGCAGACGCGGUCACCGCCGUUCCAGGCGCGGGGGCCCCGGGACCCAGCCGGAGCCGCGCGCGGCGGCGGCAGACGAGGAUGUGGGGGUCCCUUCAGAGGUGCCAGUGGCGGGGGGCGCAGUUAGCAUAACGGACCGGGUCUCCCUGGAGCUGAAGUUUUCUUCUCGAACUUUGCAGGCGACAUCUGGCGGGGCCAAGCCGCCUCCUCUCGGCUGCACAGCCCUCGCGCCGAAUCCGGACGCUCGCUGUCCGCUCCGGGGAUGCCGGGGCCAGGCGCGCCCUCGGCUCCGCGCCCAGCCGCCUAGCAAACUUUGCGGGUCCCGCGGCUCGGCGCGCAGCUCCGCGCGCCCAUGUCCGCGCCGGCGGCUGGGCGGCGGGGGCGGCUGCUGGGCUGGGCAGCCCCGGCUGUCGCCGGCGCCCGGGCGCGCAGCCUCCCGCCCGGCCAAGGAUGAAGAUCGGCCGCUCUGCCCUCCACCGCACCCGGACCGGCGCUCUCGGCGAGACGCACGGAGAGCCCGGCAGGCAGCUCCGGCUCCGGGGGCGCGGAGCCCGCCACGUUCGCCUCACGGUCGGCCUGGAGGAGCCGCGCUGCCGCCGCUCGCCGAGCCCGCCGCCCGCCGCUUCCCGCGGGCUCGGCGUCCUGAGAGCCGCUUCUGCCUGCGCCGAGCUGGAGCUGCGGGGGCAGCGUGA